AACGUAGGGGACAAGCGUUAUCCGGAUUUACUGGGCGUAAAGCGCCCGUAGGCGGCUUUUUAAGUUGGACGUGAAAGCUCCCGGCUUAACUGGGAGAGGCCGUUCAAAACUGAGAGGCUAGAGUGAGGCAGAGGAGCGCGGAAUUCCCGGUGUAGUGGUGGAAUGCGUAGAUAUCGGGAGGAACACCAGUGGCGAAAGCGGCGCUCUGGGCCUAAACUGACGCUGAGGGGCGAAAGCGUGGGGAGCGAACGGGAUUAGAUACCCCGGUAGUCCACGCCGUAAACGAUGGAGACUAGGUGUAGGCGGAUAGAACCCCGUCUGUGCCGAAGCCAACGCGUUAAGUCUCCCGCCUGGGGAGUACGGCCGCAAGGUUAAA
rnacentral:rRNA from 1 species